rnacentral:other from 1 species
CAGCUCCUGCUUUGUUCGUGAUGGUUUAGAAGCGUCGUUUGAGCCGAUGCUUUUCUUCCAAGUGAGCUGCAAACGCCGCGUGGUGUGCAUGCCUCCCGCGAGGAGGAAGCCUGAAGCGCGGUACAAGCGGUUCCACCUGUCUAACAGGUUCAUUCGACCUUCCCACACGGCAAAGCGGGGCUCC